GUGACGGAGCGACGCCGCGUGGGUGAUGAAGGCCUUCGGGUUGUAAAGCCCUGUCAGCUGGGAAGAAUGGCGGAGGGUGAAUAGCCACUCUGUCUGACGCUACCAGCAAAGGAAGCACCGGCUAAUACGUGCCAGCAGCCGCGGUAAUACGUAUGGUGCGAACGUUGUUCGGAAUCACUGGGCAUAAAGAGCACGUAGGCGGUUGAGCAAGUCCAUUGUGAAAUCCCCCGGCUUAACCGGGGAACCGCAGUGGAUACUACUUGACUUGAGUACAGGAGGGGAGAGUGGAAUUCCAGGUGGAGCGGUGAAAUGCGUAGAUAUUUGGAGGAACGCCGGUGGCGAAAGCGACUCUCUGGUCUGUAACUGACGCUGAGGUGCGAAAGCUAGGGGAGCAAACGGGAUUAGAUACCCCGGUAGUCCUAGCCCUAAACGAU
rnacentral:rRNA from 1 species